ACAUGGGUUGGAUUUAUGGCAGGCCUAUCCUCCUGGGCCUCUCAUAGUAUCCCCUGCCAGAGCAAACUGUGUCCCCAACCAUUGCCUGGCCUCUGUCUGCAGGCUACUGGGACUGAGGAGGAUUUCACAGAG